AGCUAAUUCCCAGAUCUUCCAAAUGAGCUUUUUCCCCACCCCCCUUCCAUAUGUCACUGUCCCCCUGCUUUUUUAACGGCCGGAAGACAGGCCAGAAACCAUGAGCCCUCUUGCAGCCUUGUUCAUAUCCUCUCCUUGCACCAGCAGAAUCAUGUAAGAUCUUCAGCUGUAGUAUUUAUUAGUCUCCAGUGAUAGACAAACCUAGAAGGUCAUGUACAUAAACUAGCACAGCAAUUGCUUGACAGUAUAAAGGACAUAUCAAAGUUUCUUGUUCAUUUGAUCAAAUUCUAGGUGACUCUAGAAGGAACACAAGUGUCAUGUGGAUUAGUGGAUAACUAGAUAGCUCAGUGCACCGGAGAGAACCAUAAGUGGUUUUAAUUCUGCAGUCCUGUGCCAUUGCUGGCUACUGACAGCAUGAAGUACCAAAAAAAAUGCAGGCCCUGAAGUCACCGGUGUCCAUGUCUGUGUUUUAGAUUGACAGUGAAACAUAGGAAAUCACGGUGAUGUUCACCUCUGGCAAAUCAAGUUCAAACAUUUUUCAGAUCUCCUGCUCUUCUUCCUCUUCUUCCCAUUCCAGUCCACUGUUUUGAGUGUGGCUGAUGGUGGCAGAGGAAACGGAUUGAGCAUCUUUACAACACAGCCUCUGGUGUUCCUGCACCUCAGCUCUCCAGGUGUACAAACACACACGCA
rnacentral:lncRNA from 1 species